UACGGAGGGUGCAAGCGUUAUCCGGAUUCACUGGGUUUAAAGGGUGCGUAGGCGGGCAUUUAAGUCAGUGGUGAAAUACCUGAGCUUAACUUGGGAACUGCCAUUGAUACUAUUUGUCUUGAAUGUCGUGGAGGUUAGCGGAAUAUGUCAUGUAGCGGUGAAAUGCUUAGAUAUGACAUAGAACACCUAUUGCGAAGGCAGCUAACUACGCGAAUAUUGACGCUGAGGCACGAAAGCAUGGGGAUCAAACAGG
rnacentral:rRNA from 1 species